rnacentral:rRNA from 1 species
UACGGAGGGUGCGAGCGUUGUCCGGAAUCACUGGGCGUAAAGGGCGCGUAGGCGGUACUUCAAGUCAGGCGUGAAAGCCCCGGGCUCAGCCUGGGAACCGCGCUUGAGACUGGAGAACUAGAGUUCGGGAGAGGAUGGUGGAAUUCCCAGUGUAGAGGUGAAAUUCGUAGAUAUUGGGAAGAACACCGAUGGCGAAGGCAGCCAUCUGGACCGACACUGACGCUGAGGCGCGAAAGCGUGGGGAGCAAACAGG